rnacentral:rRNA from 1 species
AGAGUUUGAUCCUGGCUCAGGAUGAACGCUGGCGGCGUGCCUAAUACAUGCAAGUCGAGCGAACGGACGAGAAGCUUGCUUCUCUGAUGUUAGCGGCGGACGGGUGAGUAACACGUGGAUAACCUACCUAUAAGACUGGGAUAACUUCGGGAAACCGGAGCUAAUACCGGAUAAUAUUUUGAACCGCAUGGUUCAAAAGUGAAAGACGGUCUUGCUGUCACUUAUAGAUGGAUCCGCGCUGCAUUAGCUAGUUGGUAAGGUAACGGCUUACCAAGGCAACGAUGCAUAGCCGACCUGAGAGGGUGAUCGGCCACACUGGAACUGAGACACGGUCCAGACUCCUACGGGAGGCAGCAGUAGGGAAUCUUCCGCAAUGGGCGAAAGCCUGACGGAGCAACGCCGCGUGAGUGAUGAAGGUCUUCGGAUCGUAAAACUCUGUUAUUAGGGAAGAACAUAUGUAUAAGUAACUGUGCACAUCUUGACGGUACCUAAUCAGAAAGCCACGGCUAACUACGUGCCAGCAGCCGCGGUAAUACGUAGGUGGCAAGCGUUAUCCGGAAUUAUUGGGCGUAAAGCGCGCGUAGGCGGUUUUUUAAGUCUGAUGUGAAAGCCCACGGCUCAACCGUGGAGGGUCAUUGGAAACUGGAAAACUUGAGUGCAGAAGAGGAAAGUGGAAUUCCAUGUGUAGCGGUGAAAUGCGCAGAGAUAUGGAGGAACACCAGUGGCGAAGGCGACUUUCUGGUCUGUAACUGACGCUGAUGUGCGAAAGCGUGGGGAUCAAACAGGAUUAGAUACCCUGGUAGUCCACGCCGUAAACGAUGAGUGCUAAGUGUUAGGGGGUUUCCGCCCCUUAGUGCUGCAGCUAACGCAUUAAGCACUCCGCCUGGGGAGUACGACCGCAAGGUUGAAACUCAAAGGAAUUGACGGGGACCCGCACAAGCGGUGGAGCAUGUGGUUUAAUUCGAAGCAACGCGAAGAACCUUACCAAAUCUUGACAUCCUUUGACAACUCUAGAGAUAGAGCCUUCCCCUUCGGGGGACAAAGUGACAGGUGGUGCAUGGUUGUCGUCAGCUCGUGUCGUGAGAUGUUGGGUUAAGUCCCGCAACGAGCGCAACCCUUAAGCUUAGUUGCCAUCAUUAAGUUGGGCACUCUAAGUUGACUGCCGGUGACAAACCGGAGGAAGGUGGGGAUGACGUCAAAUCAUCAUGCCCCUUAUGAUUUGGGCUACACACGUGCUACAAUGGACAAUACAAAGGGCAGCGAAACCGCGAGGUCAAGCAAAUCCCAUAAAGUUGUUCUCAGUUCGGAUUGUAGUCUGCAACUCGACUACAUGAAGCUGGAAUCGCUAGUAAUCGUAGAUCAGCAUGCUACGGUGAAUACGUUCCCGGGUCUUGUACACACCGCCCGUCACACCACGAGAGUUUGUAACACCCGAAGCCGGUGGAGUAACCUUUUAGGAGCUAGCCGUCGAAGGUGGGACAAAUGAUUGGGGUGAAGUCGUAACAAGGUAGCCGUAUCGGAAGGUGCGGCUGGAUCACCU